UCAAUGUCAAUUUGGUCCUGGCCUUUCUAUUAACUCUUAGUAAGAUUACACAUGCAAGCAUCCCCACCCUAGUGGAAAUGCCCUCUAGAUCAAAAGGAGCAGAUAUUAAUCACGCACAAAUGCAGCUCAAAACAUUUUCCUCAACCACACCCCCAGGAGAAACAGCAGUGAUAAAUCUUUAGUAAUAAACAAAAGUUUAACUAUGCUCUACUGAUAUUGAGGGUUGGUCAAUUUUGUGCCAGCCACCGUGGCCAUGCUAUUAACCCAAGCUUAUAGAACUCUGCGUAAAGGGUGUUUAAGGUCUACCCUAAAUAAAGCUAAACUCUAAGUCAUAAAAAAAAAACUCCAGCUGAAAUAAAAUAUACUAUGAAAGUGACUUUAAUAUCCUGAAGACACAAUAGCUAAGACCCAAACUGGGAUUAGAUAACCCACUAUGCUUAGCUCUAAACUCUAACAGUUACAUUAACAAAACUAUUUGCCAGAAUACUACAAGAAACAGCUUACAACUCAAAGGACUUGGAGGUGCUUUAUAUCCCUCUAGAGGAGCCUGUUUUAUAAUCAACAAACCCUGAUAUACCUCACCAACUCUUGCCCCCAGCCUAUGUACCAUCAUCUUCAGCAAACCCUAAAAAGGUUAUAGAGUAAGCACAAGUAUUUACACAAAAAUAUUAUGUCAAGGUGGAGCUCAUGAGGUGGCAAGAAAUGGGCUACAUUUUCUGUGUCUAGAAAAUCUUACAACAACCUUUAGGAAAUUUAAAGGUCCAAGGAUGAUUGAGUAGUAAACCAAGAGCAGAGUGUUUGCUUGAAUAAGGCCAUGAAGCAUGGACACACUGCCCGUCAUCCUCCUCAAAUAUUGCUCUAGAAACUAUUAUCACUAAAAACUCUCUGUGCACACAUAGAGGAGAUAAGUCAUAACAUGGUAAGCAUACUGAAAGGUGCACUUGGACAAACCAAAGC
rnacentral:ncRNA from 1 species